rnacentral:rRNA from 1 species
GACGGGGCCCGGCGACAAGCGGUGGAGUAUGUGGUUUAAUUCGAUGCAACGCGAAGAACCUUACCUGGUCUUGACAUCCCGGAGACCCUUAGGAACUAGGGGUGCUUCCAUCUGGAAGAAUCUGGAGACAGGUGCUGCAUGGCUGUCGUCAGCUCGUGUCGUGAGAUGUUGGGUUAAGUCCCGCAACGAGCGCAACCCUUGCCUUUAGUUGCCAGCAGUUCGGCUGGGCACUCUAAAGGGACUGCCGGUGUUAAACCGGAGGAAGUGGGGAUGACGUCAAGUCCUCAUGGCCUUUAUGACCAGGGCUACACACGUACUACAAUGGCCGAUACAAAGGGCAGCGACACUGCGAGGUGAAGCCAAUCCCGUAAAAUCGGUCUCAGUCCGGAUUGGAGUCUGCAACUCGACUCCAUGAAGUUGGAAUCGCUAGUAAUCGUGGAUCAGCAUGCCACGGUGAAUACGUUCCCGGGCCUU